GUGGGGAAUAUUGGACAAUGGGGGGAACCCUGAUCCAGCCAUGCCGCGUGUGUGAAGAAGGCCUUUUGGUUGUAAAGCACUUUAAGCGAGGAGGAGGCUACCGAGAUUAAUACUCUUGGAUAGUGGACGUUACUCGCAGAAUAAGCACCGGCUAACUCUGUGCCAGCAGCCGCGGUAAUACAGAGGGUGCAAGCGUUAAUCGGAUUUACUGGGCGUAAAGCGCGCGUAGGUGGCCAAUUAAGUCAAAUGUGAAAUCGCCGAGCUUAACGUGGGAAUUGCAUUCGAUACUGGUUGGCUAGAGUAUGGGAGAGGAUGGUAGAAUUCCAGGUGUAGCGGUGAAAUGCGUAGAGAUCUGGAGGAAUACCGAUGGCGAAGGCAGCCAUCUGGCCUAAUACUGACACUGAGGUGCGAAAGCAUGGGGAGCAAACAGGAUUAGAUACCCUUGUAGUCC
rnacentral:rRNA from 1 species